AUUGAACGCUGGCGGCAGGCUUAACACAUGCAAGUCGAACGAGUGGCGGACGGGUGAGUAAUGCUUGGGAAUCCAGCUUAUGGAGGGGGAUAACGACGGGAAACGGUAGCUAAUACCGCGUACCAUAGGAUGAGCUCAAGUGGGAUUAGGUAGUUGGUGGGGUAAAGGCUCACCAAGCCGACGAACUCUAGCUGGUCUGAGAGGAUGACCAGCAACCCGGGGACGGUGACCCGGCCCGGCCUCCUACGGGAGGCAGCGGUGGGGAAUAUUGCGCAAUGGGGGCAACCUGACGCAGCCAUGCCGCGUGAAUGAAGAAGGCCUUCGGGUUGUAAAGUUCUUUCGGUAGCGAGGCGUUAACUACAGAAGAAGCACCGGCUCACUCCGUGCCAGCAGCCGCGGUAAUUC
rnacentral:rRNA from 1 species